GAAUUCAGAGCUUGAGCCUUGGGGCCAUUGAUCGUGUCAGGUAUCUGGAGUAUGCUGUAAUGGCAGCAAUCCAAGAGGGGAGAUAUCCUGGGUUUGUUGAAAUCUGGAGUAGGUCCAUCUAGAAAGGCAUCCUUGUGAUUCAAGAUCUCUCCUUAUUAGUUGAAAUUAUAAAACAAACACGCUGCCAAGCUAUUUUUACUGAUAACAACACACCUGGGAAUUUCUGAAGCUCUGCGAAUAUAACUGAACAAAGAGAUAAUCACUGAGCAGAAGAACGCAGGUGCUUCUUCUGUUAAGCCCUCCGGCUUUCUAUAUAAUGGGACGUUGCGGAGAAAAGCAGGUAUUUUGUGUGGUAGGACCUCACUUGGAUUGUUAAAGGGUGAUGCUGCGUUCCCAGCAGAAGGCCCUGUGCCUCGCAGAAGGGCAGCCGUGGGGUGGACUGAACAAGAGUUGCGUGGGGUGGACUGAACAAGCUGCGGUGCCGCCUGCCACAGCAGAGCACAGCAGAACCUUCAUAAGCUCAGCCUGCUGCAACGUGAGGGUCUUCUGAUACCACAGGAGGAGCCAGUGGAGCCCCGGUACUGCUGAUUCGUGUGAGAGGAUCUCUCAUUCUUUGGUUUUUGCAUUAGUCACCCAUCUAAAAUCAGGUUCCAACUGUGAUAACUAUCCCCAACCUGAGAAAGGUAGGAACUACAAAGAAAGACGGGGACUCAGCCAGUGGACUUAUUUGGUGACAGUUUCUUUCUCAGACAUUGCAGAGCUGCGUUUCAUAUGUGCUUUGAGGAACAGAGCUUUGUAUUCUGCCUCCAGGGGUCUAAUUUUGCCAGAGCCACGGGGCAACAUGGAGCCUUCAACAGAGUCCAGCCUCUACCCAAGGAGAAACCAAAACUAACCUCAUCAACACAGGAAACACCUGAAUCAUACAGUGUAUUUCCCUGAAAACAGAUGUCCUUUUAUCAGCACUUUGCCUAGAGGCAACAGAGGUUCUGUUGUGUCCUUCUGCGUGUUUGUCUGGGUGGUUAUCAGUCUACCAGCCUUGGAAACUAUCUUCUGUCUUUCACAAUGACUAUCACUUAAAGCUUGUUGAAGGUGAGCGGCUGUCACAUAAGGACAGUUAUGGAAAGGCUGCUCACAAGAAUAUGAGAAUCUGCUGAGGGGUAGGGUACUAGGCUGGAUCACCAAUAGUUAGAUUACAAAAAAUUGUAAAAAUGAAUCCUGGAUGCCUAAGAGGAACACCAUUUGUUUUGAUAAUGUGGGUCUAAACAGCACACAGAUGUUGCCGCCUUUUCUAAAAACAGAAUUCACCAGGGCAAUGGUUUCCUGAAAAAAAAAAGUUAACUGAUCUUACAGGUGCUUCCCUUAAUAGUUGAUGCAUUUCUGAAACAGGUAAUGUGCAGCAUGAGACCUUGCUUAGAGCAAGAUCUCUGUAACUAAAUUUCACCAGUUUGCUGAACAAAUGAAGAAGACUCCUUCUUCCCCUGCGUGCUCUGUCUCCAGUGCCAAAAAGAAGAGGUGUGGCUCUGAGCAGCCUCACCACAGCAAAGGCUCUCUACGUUCUGCCUCCAAGACAGCUUUGUCCAGACUGCACUGCUAAUUCACAGUGGGAGCAGAUCAGGUGCAGUCAGUCUGCAAAGGUUUGAGCCACAAGCGUAAUCUGAGAUUGCUGCUGUUAUCCCCAGGACUUGCACAGCCUUAAAGAAUUCAGACAGUUUCUUACCCUUCCUCAGCCUUUACGUGGUUUCACUGAGCUGCGCCGCAUGUCACAGUACCAGAGUGACUCUGAUGCACUGAAUGGACGAGACACUGGAAAACUAUUUUCUGAAUCCGCAGGGAUGGGGAAAGCACGUCAUGCAGAGUGUUUAAGCUUUAGAAGUGCUAGAAAAUAGGGACUAUUUCUGUUAUGAGGAACCGUCAACAAAUACAUUUCACAUGGUUUUCAUAUUUCUAUGCUGCAUUUCCUACACCAUGCAGUAGAUGGCAGGAGCCAAUCAAAGAAUUUCACUGCAUUUUUCGUAGAAGAAAAUAAGUUGAUCAGACUUAUCUUUGUUAGA